rnacentral:rRNA from 1 species
UAGGGAAUCUUCCACAAUGGGCGAAAGCCUGAUGGAGCAACGCCGCGUGUGUGAUGAGGGUUUCGGCUCGUAAAACACUGUUGUAAGAGAAGAAUGACAUUGAGAGUAACUGUUCAAUGUGUGACGGUAUCUUACCAGAAAGGAACGGCUAAAUACGUGCCAG